rnacentral:rRNA from 1 species
UACGUAGGGGGCUAGCGUUGUCCGGAAUCAUUGGGCGUAAAGCGCGCGUAGGCGGCUCGGAAAGUCGGUCGUGAAAUGCCGGGGCUCAACCCCGGGACUGCGUCCGAUACUGGCGGGCUUGAAUCCGGGAGAGGGAUGCGGAAUUCCAGGUGUAGCGGUGAAAUGCGUAGAUAUCUGGAGGAACACCGGUGGCGAAGGCGGCAUCCUGGACCGGCAGUUGACGCUGAGGCGCGAAAGCGUGGGGAGCAAACAGG